rnacentral:rRNA from 1 species
UACGUAGGUGGCAAGCGUUAUCCGGAAUUAUUGGGCGUAAAGCGCGCGCAGGUGGUUCUUUAAAUCUGAUGUGAAAGCCCCCGGCUCAACCGGGGAGGGUCAUUGGAAACUGGGGAACUUGAGUAUAGAAGAGGAAAGUGGAAUUCCACGUGUAGCGGUGAAAUGCGUAGAGAUGUGGAGGAACACCAGUGGCGAAGGCGACUUUCUGGUCUAUAACUGACACUGAGGCGCGAAAGCGUGGGGAGCAAACAGG